rnacentral:lncRNA from 1 species
CUGGAAAUGUACAUUCUAAAUAUAACAGCGGUUUUCUGGAUGGUAGAUUACAGAUGCUUUCAUUUUCUUUUCUUUCUUUCUUUCUUUCUUUCUUUCUUUCUUUCUUUCUUCUUUUUUGCUUGACUGUAGUUUUUUUUUUUAGUGAUUACCAUGUUUUACUUAUGCAGAAGGAAAAUAUCAAUAAUAGACUGUUUUUAGACUCUACAGAGGAGAACCAAGACUGCUUCCAAUGUGAAGACUGACUGACAGGUUGUGAAAUCAAUGAUUGAUCAGUCAUCACUGGAGAAAAUUUCAAAAGUGGAUAAAGGGUUUGACCACUCACAGCAUGAGGGCAUUGCUUCUCUUAUUAAAACAAGCUGGCCAAGGAUGCGUGGAAAUUCAAGGAUGAUGCGGUUACUUAAGGAGCAGAACUUCUUCCUUCCUCCUCACCAUGCUUGGAAUGUGUUUUUCAUCCUGAGGUUGCAAAACUGGCUGCUAUACUUCCCUCAUGAAGCCUGCAAGCUUCUGCAGUCACUGUGGAUGCCUGUGAUGCCCCAUGAAGAUCCCUCCUCAGCCACCACUGCAGUAUUCCAAUGUGGCAUGAUUACAAAGGCUGACAGUCCCCAGAAGCUGCUGUUGGUAAACUGGCGACCUGGGAGAGCCAAUGAUGUAAUUCCAGUUUGAAUACUGGCAGGCUUGAGGCCCGGCCAUGCCAAUCUGCAAGAAGACUAACUGUCUAGUUGGAAACAGCCAGUUAGCCAGGAUCAAAGGUGGGUGCGUCUGAUUCUCACUAUUUUAAAUAAUGUUAGAGGAACAAUCUUAUAUAUAUUUGGGGGCUCUUGUUUCCUCAGGAAAAUUUUCUAUAAAAUGCACUCUUUUUGAAGGACUUUUGAAAAUUAUAUUGUCCAGUUGUCAUUCUGGAAAGGACAGAAUCAGUUCCACUCCCAACAGCAGCAUGUGAAAGUACCCUUUUCCUUACACAUUCACGUGAACACUGGGUAACACUAUUCUUUUAAUCUCCACCAGUCUGAUAAAUGAAAAUGUUAUCUUACUUUAAUUUGCAUUUAAUUACCAGUGAGGCUGAAAGCGACUGUCAAGGCAGGUAUUUUCCCAUUUUAUAGGAAAUAAAUGCAGCAUCCUUGUAUGUCCCUCA